rnacentral:rRNA from 1 species
UACGUAGGUGGCAAGCGUUGUCCGGAUUUACUGGGCGUAAAGGGCGUGCAGGCGGUCCGUUAAGUUCAGGGUGAAAGCUCCCGGCUCAACUGGGAGAGGUCCUUGGAUACUGGCGGACUCGAGGGAGGUAGAGGAGAGUGGAAUUCCCGGUGUAGUGGUGAUAUGCGUAGAUAUCGGGAGGAACACCAGUGGCGAAGGCGGCUCUCUGGACAGGUACUGACACUGAGACGCGAAAGCGUGGGUAGCAAACAGG